rnacentral:rRNA from 1 species
CCAGGCUUGAACAGCGAGUGACCAACUACGAAAGUGGUCUUCCGCAAGGACACUCGUAGAGGUGCUGCAUGGCUGUCGUCAGCUCGUGUCGUGAGAUGUUGGGUUAAGUCCCGCAACGAGCGCAACCCUUGUUUUCUGUUGCCAUCAGGUUAAGCUGGGCACUCUGGAGAGACUGCCGGUGAUAAACCGGAGGAAGGUGGGGAUGACGUCAAGUCAGCAUGGCCUUUAUGUCUGGGGCUACACACGUGCUACAAUGGCGGAUACAAAGCGUCGCGAGCCCGCGAGGGGGAGCUAAUCGCAUAAAGUCCGUCUCAGUUCGGAUAGCAGGCUGCAACUCGCCUGCUUGAAGUCGGAAUCGCUAGUAAUCGCGGAUCAGCAUGCCGCGGUGAAUACGUUCCC